AAAUUAAUGAUGACUGGGGCCAGAGGGUCGUCAAAAACAAAAAUGCAUCUCGGGUGGUGGCCUCUGCCCAAAUAGCUGUCCAAAAACUUUCUGCCUUGGGCUAUAUGCCCAUAUUAUUUAUCAGCCAGAGGCACAAGGGCACAGGCAAGUUGAUGGCAGAUGUAGUCACGCAUCUGCCACCGACGCAAAAAACAACACACGUUUCUUAACCAGCAUGAAGAGGGCAUAUGACUUCAUAAUCAAACUGGAUGAUGUGCCCCAGCCCCAGCCCCAGCAAGACCAGCCCCUCCACCUAGACCAACCCCUACCCC
ensembl:lncRNA